CCUACGGGUGGCAGCAGUGAGGAAUAUUGGUCAAUGGACGCAAGUCUGAACCAGCCAUGCCGCGUGCAGGAAGACGGCUCUAUGAGUUGUAAACUGCUUUUGUACGGAGGUAAACACAGAUACGCGUAUCUGUCUGAAAGUAGCGUACGAAUGAGGAUCGGCUAACGCCUGUCCAGCAGCCGCGGGAGUACGGAGGAUUAAAUGGUUAUCCGGAUUUAUUGGGUGUAAAGGGUGCUUAGGCGGUCGGAUAAGUAAGAGGGUAAGUCCCGGGGCUUAACUUCGGAAUUGCCUCUGAUACUGUUAGGCUAGAGAGUAGUUGCGGUAGGCGGAAUGUAUGGUGUAGCGGUGAAAUGCUUAGAUAUCAUACAGAACACCGAUUGCGAAGGCAGCUUACCAAGCUACUUCUGACGUUGAGGCACGAAAGCGUGGGGAGCAAACAGGAUUAGAUACCCUAGUAGUC
rnacentral:rRNA from 1 species